GUCUAUAUUACCCCAGAAACUCUUAAAGAAGAAAGUAGAACAAAAACAACCCAAAGGACCAUGAAAUAAGCCGAUGUUGCCCAAGCCCACAGCCUAGGCCCCCCAAGCUCAGCACCAAAUACUAUGCGGCGGAGAACCAAAACUGUGAUACAACCAAAAGAUGUUGCGAAGAAGACCAGAAGUGAGAAGCUGAGACCAGCAGCAUUGUCUAUGUACAAUGGUUCCUGGUAG
rnacentral:rRNA from 1 species